rnacentral:snRNA from 1 species
GUGCUCACUUCGGCAACACGUAUACUAAAAUUGGAAGAAAAAGGAGAAGCUUUAGCAUGGCCCUUGCACAAGGAUGACUCGCAGAUUCAUGAAGUGUUCCAUAUUUUU